UACGGGGGGGGCAAGCGUUGUUCGGAAUUACUGGGCGUAAAGGGCUCGUAGGCGGCCAACUAAGUCAGACGUGAAAUCCCUCGGCUUAACCGGGGAACUGCGUCUGAUACUGGAUGGCUUGAAUCCGGAAGAGGGAUGCGGAAUUCCAGGUGUAGCGGUGAAAUGCGUAGAUAUCUGGAGGAACACCGGUGGCGAAGGCGGCAUCCUGGACCGGCAUUGACGCUGAGGAGCGAAAGCCAGGGGAGCAAACGGG
rnacentral:rRNA from 1 species